GCUAAGUCGGGCGCGAACCACGGCAACGCCAGCGGCCUAGCAGAAGGAGAGAGGGAGGGAGCCCGAGCUCGAUUUGGAAACGACCCGCCGCUAAGGCGAGGAACGCCCAGAGGAAAAGGGAGCCGCUUUACGGGCUCCCGACGUCGGAGCAGCCCCNCACUGGAAAAGGACGCCAGAGGAGUUCUCCCACCAGUCUAAGUUGUAGUUGAGCACUCUACUGUGGCUCCUGCCUGGGCCGAUACUACUCGAGAGGACGUGCAUAGCAGAGCCCAUGGAGAUGAGCUGUUCCUGCAGCAGCCCUGUUCCANACUAUUCAGAGGAUACUUUUACGUCCUUCAGUGAAGGGGAAGAAGAGGAAACUUCCAGGCACUAUGGGGAUGACUCAUUUGAGUCUUACUACUCUGGAGAGAAGUCAGAAUNUCCUGCNGUGUUGGAUUNCUCUGAAAGCACAUCACUGUUGUCNGGCCAAGACAGCGAAGCAGAACAUGAGCCAGAUGUUUUGGAUUCUGUAGCAGUGGCAGAGUGCUUUACUAGAAAAUGGAUCGGUCUUCUGCAAGACACUAAAGCUAGGACGGAGCAAGUGAAACCUGCCCCUGACCCAGAUAAGGCACUGAUAGGAACAACGGAGCUGUCUGUAGAAGAACUGGGUGCUCUGCAAUCGUUUUGUAGUAUAAAAAUUCAGCAGCUCAGUCGUCUCCCGCACUCAGUGGCAUUGAAGAGGAACAGGCAUAAGAAUCAGAGGCAUGGAUUCACUUCAAAGAAGCCCUCGACGGGUGAUUUGAGCUGCAUUGUCCCCCAUCCGCUAGUGAACAGACUCUGCCUGGAAAACAUAAAGGAAACAGUGAAACAGUUAGCCNAA
rnacentral:lncRNA from 1 species